GACGAACGCUGGCGGCGUGCUUAACACAUGCAAGUCGAGCGGAAAGGCCACUUCGGUGGUACUCGAGCGGCGAACGGGUGAGUAACACGUGAGUAAUCUGCCCUUGGCUUUGGGAUAGCCACCGGAAACGGUGAUUAAUACCGGAUAUGCACCACUUCUCGCAUGGGUUGUGGUGGAAAGUUUUUCGGCCAGGGAUGUGCUCGCGGCCUAUCAGCUUGAUGGUGAGGUAAUGGCUCACCAUGGCUUCGACGGGUAGCCGGCCUGAGAGGGUGACCGGUCACACUGGGACUGAGACACGGCCCAGACUCCUACGGGAGGCAGCAGUGGGGAAUAUUGGACAAUGGGCGGAAGCCUGAUCCAGCAACGCCGCGUGAGGGAUGACGGCCUUCGGGUUGUAAACCUCUUUCGGUAGGGACGAAGCGCAAGUGACGGUACCUACUAAAGAAGCACCGGCCAACUACGUGCCAGCCGCCGCCGUAAAAC
rnacentral:rRNA from 1 species